AGCGAACGCUGGCGGCAGGCUUAACACAUGCAAGUCGAGCGGGCACUUCGGUGUCAGCGGCAGACGGGUGAGUAACACGUGGGAACGUACCCUUUGGUUCGGAAUAACGCUGGGAAACUAGCGCUAAUACCGGAUACGCCCUUUUGGGGAAAGGCUUGCUGCCGAAGGAUCGGCCCGCGUCUGAUUAGCUAGUUGGUGGGGUAGUGGCCUACCAAGGCGACGAUCAGUAGCUGGUCUGAGAGGAUGAUCAGCCACACUGGGACUGAGACACGGCCCAGACUCCUACGGGAGGCAGCAGUGGGGAAUAUUGGACAAUGGGCGCAAGCCUGAUCCAGCCAUGCCGCGUGAGUGAUGAAGGCCUUAGGGUUGUAAAGCUCUUUUGUCCGGGACGAUAAUGACGGUACCGGAAGAAUAAGCCCCGGCUAACUUCGUG
rnacentral:rRNA from 1 species